GAUUUCGGUACAAAAAAUAUAUCGCGUUCACAUAAUUAAUUCUUCGCUCAAGAAAACCGUGUGACAUCGCUAGUAAUAUAUAUUAUAGAAAAUCGCGUAGUAGAUAUUUAUAAAAACAUUUAUAGUAUAUGAUAAAACAGUAAUUUCUCUUUUGCUAUUCAUAAUAAAUAUUAUCUACAGCAGAGUAGCUUUUCGUAAUAUUAUUAUUUUUGGCUGUUACGGUUCUUUUAAUAUCAAGAUUGAUCUUCAUUGGUCUAGAUUCUUUUUCGAUCGUUCUUGUACACGUAAAUCGAUAUCUCUUGAAACAGGUGUUUCAUACUUCUUUCAAUCUAUCCGAUAAUGAGCAUUCUGCAUUUAAAUUUUCUGCAUUACUUCUUACGUAUGCAAAUGUAUAAUAAAAAAAAAAGUAUUUACAAAUUCAUAUCAGUGCCAAAUUAAUUUUUAUUUAACUUUUAUUAUUAUAUUAUACACGAUCUGUGAUUUUUUUGAAGUCUUAUUGGCGUAUACUUAAACUAUCGUGAAUCAUCUGUAUGCAAACUAAAAUGUUUAAUCGUCAUAAUAAAGUCAACAUUUAGAUAUAAGUAUAAUAAAUGCGCAACUCACAACUACGCAACUUUUGCUAAAAGUAUCUACACUUGCGACGAAGUCGUAAUCGUCAGUGGCAUAGUGUACACAUGAUAAUGUUAAGACGCUCGAAAUAAAAUAAAAUAUAAAACGAAUCAGUUAAAAAGUGUACGCUUAUGUGAUACAGCAUCGACUCCGAAGUUCGAAAACUUUUUAUAGUGCCCCAAUGAGAGAAAACGGUCUUCUUUUUAAAGUGCGUUAUAAAUUUACAUUCUCCAUUAAUUUGCUUAUUGUUAAUCAAAUCAUGUAUCAUAUCGAUGAUUCAUUUGUGAUAUGUGUAUCAAAAGAAAGUAUAAAAGAGUCGUGAUAAAACGUGCGACACAGUAUAGUGCAAGGAACAAUUCUGCGCUCCGCGUGACACGCGAUAAUUAGUCAGUAUUUUUCCAGAGUUUUCUGCCACAUCUACGAGACUCUCGUCUCCUUCUGAGCCAAAAUUAUUUUACGACUCGGGCAAUCUAUCACCGUAUCUCAAGGACGAAAUAAUUUCUGCGCGAUAGAAGUAUAUUUGCAAUUGCGCAACUAAUUGUUGAAAACGUGUUUGCUAACUCGUUAGCUGGCUCCAAUUUAUACCUGUUAAGUUCUGUGUUGCCUGUCCUGCACGACGAUGGAGGAAAGCCAGUGCCCGAGAAUUGUCAGCCGAAAGGAAUGGAAAGCCAGGAAGCGCCUCAAUUUCGAGAUAAUGCCGAUUACACCAACACCGUACGUGGUGAUCCAUCACGGCGGCAUACGUAAAUACUGUCGGGAUCAGGAGACGUGCUCUUCGAUAGUUAGAUCCUAUCAGAACUUACAUAUGGACGAAAAUGGCUGGUGGGACAUUGGCUAUAAUUUCCUCAUUGGCGAGGACGGCAACGUCUAUGAGGGUCGCGGCUGGGACUACACGGGUGCGCAUGCACCUGGAUACAACACCCAGAGUAUUGGCAUUUGCUUCAUGGGAGACUUUAGCGACUUUCUUCCCAACGCGGCUGCCCUGAAGACGUUGAACGAGCUGAUAGCUUGCGGGGUUUCACUUGGCAAGAUAAAGAACAGCUACAAUGUGAUCGGUCAUCGACAAACACGGAUCACGGAAUGCCCUGGCGAGAGAUUUUAUAAGUAUGUGGUUACCCUACCCGGUUGGACCGCGGAUCCAAUACCUCACAAUCGUUCGACCACGACCACGAUGAUGCCAAGUGUACAGGGCAUCGCAGAGGGGACUAGCCAAUCGAACAUUCGAUCAUGAUAAUAUUUCUAGCUCGUUGUCACGUAAACCACAAUUCUAGUGAAUUCUAAGUAUAGAACAGACAUUUGACGUAACAAAGAACUACUUGAAUAUCAUUUCUAGAGCGCAAUGGGGCGCUAGAGCACCAAAAACAGAAGCUUCUCCUCUCACGUUAAAACCAGCACCUUUCGUAAUCAUUCAUCAUUCGGAUACCUCCGGUUGUGAAGUUCAAGCUAUAUGUCA